UGGAGUAACGUUGGGCUCCCUUAAAUUCACAACCAAUAUAUGAAUUGUUGAGGGUUCAGUUCGCCAAUACUUCGGAUUGUUUCGAGGACGUUAGUUGAUUAAGGAGCUUCCCUAACUUUGAGGUAAGGGAUUUUCUACUGGACUCACUUAUGAUUGUGAAUUGUAUGUCUGUAUGAUUGUCUCUGACUGAGUAAAGAUGUUGAGAUGAUAUAUAUAUAUACACGUAUGGAUGUAGAUUCGGUGUUGAAUGUAUACUGUGGAUUGACU